rnacentral:rRNA from 1 species
GGCGCACGGGUGAGUAAUACGUGGACAACCUGCCUUGGAGCUUGGGAUAACCCGUCGAAAGACGGACUAAUACCGAAUAAGACCACGGGGAGUUCGCUCUCUGAGGUAAAAGGUGGCCUCUGCUCCUGCAAGCUAUCACUUCAAGAGGGAUCCGCGGCCUAUCAGCUAGUUGUGAGGUAACGGCCCACCAAGGCUAAGACGGGUAGCUGGUCUGAGAGGAUGGUCAGCCGACACUGGGACUGAGACACGGUCCAGAGUCAUACGGGAGGCAGCAGUGGGGAAUAUUGCGCAAUGGCCGCAAGGCUGACGCAGCGACGCCGCGUGUGGGAUGACGGUCUUCGGAUUGUAAACCACUGUCAGGGGGAACGAAUACCGGGCGACGAAUAGCCGACCCGGGGUGACGGUACCUCCAAAGGAAGCACCGGCUAACUCCGUGCCAGCCGC